rnacentral:lncRNA from 1 species
AGGUCGAUAGAUUCCUUAUAGGUGCGUACCCUACUCCUACAGUGAACUUACUGCAGCCAAUCUACACUGCAUGGACCCAUAUGGCUAGAGACCAUGUGUGUGUGCAGUCAAACUACAAUAACCUCACUGUGAGUAGCCGAAGCACCGCAGGUCAAAGGACCAGUCACACUACUGCAACAUCAAGCAAGUCACUGACGAGUGGAUAGACAUCCACGUGACUUCUUGUCUUGGUCACGCUCAGUACCCUUGUUCUCUAACAAGCACCUGC